UACGUAGGGAGCAAGCGUUGUCCGGAAUCAUUGGGCGUAAAGAGCGUGUAGGCGGCCCGGUAAGUCGGUUGUGAAAGUCAAGGGCUCAACCCUUGAAUGCCGACCGAUACUGUCGGGCUAGAGUCCGGAAGAGGCGAGUGGAAUUCCUGGUGUAGCGGUGAAAUGCGCAGAUAUCAGGAGGAACACCGAUGGCGAAGGCAGCUCGCUGGGACGGUACUGACGCUGAGGAGCGAAAGCGUGGGGAGCAAACAGG
rnacentral:rRNA from 1 species